rnacentral:lncRNA from 1 species
GUUUGUUUUCUCUUAUUUUUGAGUGUAAAUUCACAUUGCGAUAAGACGUGUCACGGUACUUGUCUAUCCCAAAUUCAUGUAUUUGGUUUGAUGUUAUAUAUAUAUAUGUUAUAUUUGUUAUUCUCGUGGGAUUUUGUCUAUAUGUGUUACAUUUUAGUGUUAUGUCGUUGUUCUCCUCUUAUAUUUAAUGCGUUUCCCUCGGUUUUAGUUAUCCCGAUUUUGUUUUUUGUCCAUGGAUUUAUGAGUUUUGAACAGCGGUAUACUACUGUUGCCUUUAUUU